GCUAUGGUUACCAUGGUCAUUUUUUUGUAAAGCUCACUCAUUGGACAUGCUUAAUCAUCACCACAUCCACAAACACAAACAUGCCCACUCACACACUUACAAGAAGACACGUUCACCUCAUGACCUGAGCCAGAGUUCAUCCUGAACGAUCCUUAGCCUGAACUAGAAUUAUGCUACGUAAUAUUAGUGUUUUUUAUCAAGGUCAGUUACUGAUAGCACAUCUGAUGAGUCUUCUCAUGCCAUAUUUGAAUAUGUUUGAAUGUGAAUGAGAUUUUUAAACUGCAGCAGAGAGGAAGCAUUUCAGGAGCUCAGCAACAUGACCGUUCCUGUUCAUUUUUGUUGUAUGGAUUAGAGAAGUGUGAAUGGUCAUGAAAAUGAUCCACAGAAGAAAGAAAAUCAGAGAUUUGGAAUGGCAUGAUAAUGCCUCAGUGACAUCAUCCUCUAGGAAGUGACAUCAUUUUGGUGGGAAAACGACGGCACAAACAUCAAUAAUUGCAACACAUGCCAAAUGUGUAGCUUCAUCACAUCAAAACACUGGGAAGGAGUGAUUAGGAAUGAUUUUGGGUCUUUCCAGCAACCACCCAUUGCCUUCUUCCACCGAUGACCCAGCGAGGGGCCAGACACGAGAUGAUUGUUUGUGGCAUUGAUGUAACGUCUAGAAAAGGUUCAGUCUGUAAUUAGCUGAAGUGCUCGUGAAGGAGACAGACAUGGUGAAGAUGAAUAUUCCCCGAGCAUGUGGCGUGAUUCUGAUGUACAGUCGUCUCUACGCCCACCUGGCAAAGCUUUAUCAACCCUAAAAGCAUUCAGAAACUUUCAGCACUGAAGGUCGUACAGUGAAUCAUCUCAGUUUUGGUUCAGUUUCUCCACCCUGAGCAUUAAACAACAGCAGUGUUUAUGUGGUGAACUGCUGUGUGUCAUGUUGCAUCAAAUAUUCUACAGUAGUCUGUUGUAGUACUCAGAUAUAUAGUUGCAGGACCAGUACUUAUUUAUACUGUAAUUUUACUGAGCUUAAGUCUUGUCUUUACUUUCAUUGCAGGUCUUGGGUUUCACAUGGUGGUGGUUAGUAAUGGAGAUGCAUACUAGACACUGGGUAUGUUCAGAAUGGCAUACUAACUAAUAUAUAUAUAUAUAUAUAUAUAUAUAUAUAUAUAUAU